AUGCUCGUCUUCAAAGACCGUAUUGGAGCAUUUUGCAAGUUUAAGGACCAUUGUAAUUUACUCUCAUGGAGGAAGCUAAUCUGUACACAUCGCGUACACAUAAACUACAGUCGUCACGUGUUACCCGGCGUCAACGUGCGUGCGUGCUUGCUCGCACAUGUGUAUAUUCCCAACACCACGCUACGCUACAAAAACAAAACAAAAAAACUCAUCGUGGCAGCAGCGUCCAUCGUUGCCGUCCACUCACGCGGCGGACCCCACAACCACCUAAAAUUACAUACUAGGCCGGCCCCACAUUGA
rnacentral:rRNA from 1 species